UGCUAUGGCUCUAAUGGGAGGCAUUGGUAUCAUCCACCACAACUGCACACCAGAAUUCCAAGCCAAUGAGGUCCGCAAGGUUAAGGUUCUGAGGUUUGAGCAGGGUUUUAUCACAGACCCAGUUGUGAUGAGUCC